AGUGAACGCUGGCGGCGUGCCUAAUACAUGCAAGUCGAACGGAGUGGCGCACGGGUGAGUAAUGUAUAGCUAAUCUGCCCUACCCUAGCGGACAACAGAUGGAAACGGCUGCUAAUUCUCUAUAGUGUAGGAUGAGGCUAUAUUGUAUCAGCUAGUUGGUGAGGUAAUGGCUCACCAAGGCUAUGACGCAUAACUGGUCUGAGAGGAUGAUCAGUCACUCUGGAGCUGAGACACGGUGCAGACUCCUACGGGAUGCAGCAGUAGGGGAUAUUGCUCAAUGGGGGAAGCCCUGAAGCAGCAACGCCGCGUGGAGGAUGACACUUUGCGGAGCGUAAACUCCUUUUGUUAGGGAAGCGGUACCUAACGAAUAAGCACCGGCUAACUCCGUGCCAGCCGCCGCGGUAAUUC
rnacentral:rRNA from 1 species